rnacentral:rRNA from 1 species
AACAAAUAUUAAAGGCAACGCCUGCCCAGUGAACAAUUAAACGGCCGCGGUACCCUAACCGUGCAAAGGUAGCAUAAUCAUUUGUCUAUUAACUGUAGACCUGUAUGAAAGGCAAAAUGAGGGUCUAACUGUCUCUUAUAAUAAAUCAAUAAAACUGAUCUCCUGGUAAAAAAGCCAGAAUAAAAACAUAAGACCAGAAGACCCUGUGAAGCUUAAACUAUGUUAUUAAACCACAUAAUAUCUACUUUUGGUUGGGGCGACCUUGGAAACAAAUAAAACUUCCAAACACAUGUGUAUUACACACCACACGGCCUACAAGCCAACAAACGACCCAGCACAGCUGAUAACUGAACAAAGUUACUCCAGGGAUAACAGCGCCAUCUUCUUCAAGAGCCCAUAUCAAAAAGAAGGUUUACGACCUCGAUGUUGGAUCAGGACAUCCUAAUGGUGCAGCCGCUAUUAAGGGUUCGUUUGUUCAACGAUUAAUGUCCUACGUGAU